CACCCGGGGAACACGGACGAGUGGACGCUACACAUCAAGUACGCCCAGCCAGGGGACGGUGGCUGGUACGAGUGUCAGGUCAACUCUGACCCCAAGAUCACCAGGCCUGUCCUCCUCAUUGUCAAGGACAAGAAUAUGGACGACCCGUUCUACCAGCUGGAGGCCUCUGACAAUGGUACCCAGGUACACAUCUCGGGGGCUGAGGAACGGUACAUCCAGGAGGGCAGCGUGCUGGCGGUGACCUGUACCGUCGCCCACCACCACAUGAAGGGUCCUCACGCCGUGGUGUGGUACCAGGGCGCCCGCAGACUGGACUACGAUGCUCCGAGAGGCGGAAUAGCU